AAAGCAUAUUGUACCAUGUGCAUAGGUUAUAUGCAAAUACUAUACCGUCUUAUAUAAGGGACUUGAGCAUCGGCAGAUUUUGGUAUUGAAGGGGGUUCUGGAACCA